rnacentral:rRNA from 1 species
CCUACGGGUGGCAGCAGUCGAGAAUAAUGCACAAUGGGGGAAACCCUGAUGGCGCGACGCCGCGUGGGGGAAGGAAGGUCUGCGGAUUGUAAACCCCUGUCAUGUGGGAGCAAAGUAAAAAGAUAGUACCACAAGAGGAAGAGACGGCUAACGCGGUGCCAGCAGCCGCGGUAAUACAGAGGUCUCAAGCGUUGGUCGGAAUAACUGGGCGUAAAGUGUGCGUAGCCGUUUUCGUAAGUCGUGUGUUAAAGGCGCGGGCCCAACCCGCGGACGGCACAUUAUACUGCGAGCCUAGAGUAAUGGAGUGGGAACCGGACUUCUCGGUGUAUCCGU